CCUACGGGCGGCUGCAGUGGGGAAUAUUGGACAAUGGGGGCAACCCUGAUCCAGCCAUGCCGCGUUUGUGAAGAAGGCCCUCGGGUUGUAAAGCACUUUCAGUGAGGAAGAACGCCUGGUGGUUAAUACCCAUCAGGAAAGACAUCACUCACAGAAGAAGCACCGGCUAACUCCGUGCCAGCAGCCGCGGUAAUACGGAGGGUGCGAGCGUUAAUCGGAAUUACUGGGCGUAAAGCGCGCGUAGGUGGCUUGAUAAGCCGGUUGUGAAAGCCCCGGGCUCAACCUGGGAACGGCAUCCGGAACUGUCAAGCUAGAGUGCAGGAGAGGAAGGUAGAAUUCCCGGUGUAGCGGUGAAAUGCGUAGAGAUCGGGAGGAAUACCAGUGGCGAAGGCGGCCUUCUGGACUGACACUGACACUGAGGUGCGAAAGCGUGGGUAGCAAACAGGAUUAGAUACCCUAGUAGUC
rnacentral:rRNA from 1 species